UGCGGGAAAGUAAAAGUUACAAGUAGACUACUCCUAGAAAAUGUGAGAAAAUGCGAGGAAAUAAGGGUGGUCUUUUGUUCACAAGGAAAAGACCUCUUUUUAGGGCGUUAUUGACCUAUUUAUAGAUCGCCCCUUGUGAUCAGUUAUUACCUAUACAUGAUCGGCCACUAUUCCUGAUUUUCCGGACCACUUACAGCCGAUCGGAACCGCUUGCAACUGCUUGCGAUUACUAUAACUUCCUUUAAAUCAUGCGGUUUAAGAUCCUC
rnacentral:lncRNA from 1 species